UCAGAAGUGUGUUGAGAACCAGGCC
rnacentral:piRNA from 2 species